rnacentral:rRNA from 1 species
AUUGAACGCUGGCGGCAUGCUUUACACAUGCAAGUCGAACGGUAACAGGUUAAGCUGACGAGUGGCGAACGGGUGAGUGAUGCAUCGGAACGUGCCCGGUCGUGGGGGAUAACGCAGCGAAAGUUGCGCUAAUACCGCGCACGAUCUGAUGAUGAAAGCGGGGGACCGUAAGGCCUCGCGCGAUCGGAGCGGCCGAUGUCAGAUUAGGUAGUUGGUGGGGUAAAGGCUCACCAAGCCAACGAUCUGUAGCUGGUCUGAGAGGACGACCAGCCACACUGGGACUGAGACACGGCCCAGACUCCUACGGGAGGCAGCAGUGGGGAAUUUUGGACAAUGGGCGAAAGCCUGAUCCAGCAAUGCCGCGUGCAGGAAGAAGGCCUUCGGGUUGUAAACUGCUUUUGUACGGAGCGAAAAGGUCUCCUCUAAUACAGGGGGCUCAUGACGGUACCGUAAGAAUAAGCACCGGCUAACUACGUGCCAGCCGCCGCGGUAA